rnacentral:rRNA from 1 species
UGGGUGGCGAGUGGCGGACGGGUGAGGAAUACAUCGGAAUCUACUUUUUCGUGGGGGAUAACGUAGGGAAACUUACGCUAAUACCGCAUACGACCUACGGGUGAAAGCAGGGGAUCUUCGGACCUUGCGCGAUUGAAUGAGCCGAUGUCGGAUUAGCUAGUUGGCGGGGUAAAGGCCCACCAAGGCGACGAUCCGUAGCUGGUCUGAGAGGAUGAUCAGCCACACUGGAACUGAGACACGGUCCAGACUCCUACGGGAGGCAGCAGUGGGGAAUAUUGGACAAUGGGCGCAAGCCUGAUCCAGCCAUACCGCGUGGGUGAAGAAGGCCUUCGGGUUGUAAAGCCCUUUUGUUGGGAAAGAAAUCCAGCUGGCUAAUACCCGGUUGGGAUGACGGUACCCAAAGAAUAAGCACCGGCUAACUUCGUGCCAGCAGCCGCGGUAAUACGAAGGGUGCAAGCGUUACUCGGAAUUACUGGGCGUAAAGCGUGCGUAGGUGGUCGUUUAAGUCCGUUGUGAAAGCCCUGGGCUCAACCUGGGAACUGCAGUGGAUACUGGACGACUAGAGUGUGGUAGAGGGUAGCGGAAUUCCUGGUGUAGCAGUGAAAUGCGUAGAGAUCAGGAGGAACAUCCAUGGCGAAGGCAGCUACCUGGACCAACACUGACACUGAGGCACGAAAGCGUGGGGAGCAAACAGGAUUAG